rnacentral:rRNA from 1 species
AUUGAACGCUGGCGGCAGGCCUAACACAUGCAAGUCGAACGCGUCGCGGACGGGUGAGUAAUGUCUGGAAAUCUGCCUGAUGGAGGGGUAUAACUACUGGAAACGGUCGAUAAUACCGCAUACCAUCAGAUGUGCCGAGAUGGGAUUAGCUUGUUGGUGGUGUAACGGCUCACCAAGGCGACGAUCCCUAGCUGGUCUGAGAGGAUGACCAGCCACACUGGAACGGAGACACGGUCCAGACUCCUACGGGAGGCAGCAGUGGGGAAUAUUGCACAAUGGGCGCAAGCCUGAUGCAGCCAUGCCGCGUGUAUGAAGAAGGCCUUCGGGUUGUAAAGUACUUUCAGCGGGGAGGCGUUACCCGCAGAAGAAGCACCGGCUAACUCCGUGCCAGCAGCCGCGGUAAUUC